rnacentral:rRNA from 1 species
CCUCCAAGGCUAAAUACUACUGACUGACCGAUAGUGAACCAGUACCGUGAGGGAAAGGCGAAAAGAACCCCUGUGAGGGGAGUGAAAUAGAACCUGAAACCGUGUACGUACAAGCAGUAGGAGCACCUUCGUGGUGUGACUGCGUACCUUUUGUAUAAUGGGUCAGCGACUUAUAUUCAGUGGCAAGGUUAACCAUCUAGGGGAGCCGUAGGGAAACCGAGUCUUAACUGGGCGUUCAGUCUCUGGAUAUAGACCCGAAACCAGGUGAUCUAGCCAUGGGCAGGUUGAAGGUUGAGUAACAUCAACUGGAGGACCGAACCGACUAAUGUUGAAAAAUUAGCGGAUGACUUGUGGCUAGGGGUGAAAGGCCAAUCAAACCUGGAGAUAGCUGGUUCUCCCCGAAAGCUAUUUAGGUAGCGCCUCGGACGAAUACUACUGGGGGUAGAGCACUGUUAAGGCUAGGGGGUCAUCCCGACUUACCAACCCUUUGCAAACUCCGAAUACCAGUAAGUACUAUCCGGGAGACACACGGCGGGUGCUAACGUCCGUCGUGGAGAGGGAAACAACCCAGACCGCCAGCUAAGGUCCCAAAUUACUACUAAGUGGGAAACGAUGUGGGAAGGCUCAGACAGCCAGGAUGUUGGCUUAGAAGCAGCCAUCAUUUAAAGAAAGCGUAAUAGCUCACUGGUCGAGUCGGCCUGCGCGGAAGAUGUAACGGGGCUAAGUAGUAAACCGAAGCUGCGGCAAUAUACUUUUGUAUAUUGGGUAGGGGAGCGUUCUGUAAGCGGUUGAAGGUGUGUGGUAACGCAUGCUGGACGUAUCAGAAGUGCGAAUGCUGACAUGAGUAACGAUAAAGGGGGUGAAAAACCUCCUCGCCGGAAGACCAAGGGUUCCUGUCCAACGUUAAUCGGGGCAGGGUAAGUCGACCCCUAAGGCGAGGCCGAAAGGCGUAGUCGAUGGGAAACGGGUUAAUAUUCCCGUACUUCUUACAAUUGCGAUGGGGGGACGGAGAAGGCUAGGUGGGCCUGGCGACGGUUGUCCAGGUUCAAGUGCGUAGGCUUAAGAGUUAGGUAAAUCCGGCUCUUUUUAAGGCUGAGACACGACGUCGAGCACCUACGGGUGUGAAGUCAUUGAUGCCAUGCUUCCAGGAAAAGCCUCUAAGCUUCAGAUUGUAAGGAAUCGUACCCCAAACCGACACAGGUGGUCGGGUAGAGAAUACCAAGGCGCUUGAGAGAACUCGGGUGAAGGAACUAGGCAAAAUGGUACCGUAACUUCGGGAGAAGGUACGCUCUUGAUGGUGAAGUCCCUUGCGGAUGGAGCUGACGAGAGUCGCAGAUACCAGGUGGCUGCAACUGUUUAUUAAAAACACAGCACUGUGCAAAAUCGUAAGAUGACGUAUACGGUGUGACGCCUGCCCGGUGCCGGAAGGUUAAUUGAUGGGGUUAGACUUCGGUCGAAGCUCUUGAUCGAAGCCCCGGUAAACGGCGGCCGUAACUAUAACGGUCCUAAGGUAGCGAAAUUCCUUGUCGGGUAAGUUCCGACCUGCACGAAUGGCGUAAUGAUGGCCACGCUGUCUCCACCCGAGACUCAGUGAAAUUGAAAUCGCUGUGAAGAUGCAGUGUACCCGCGGCUAGACGGAAAGACCCCGUGAACCUUUACUACAGCUUGGCACUGAACAUUGACCCUACAUGUGUAGGAUAGGUGGGAGGCUUUGAAGCACGUACGCCAGUAUGUGUGGAGCCGUCCUUGAAAUACCACCCUUGUAGUGUUGAUGUUCUAACGUCGACCCCUUAUCGGGGUUGCGGACAGUGCCUGGUGGGUAGUUUGACUGGGGCGGUCUCCUCCCAAAGAGUAACGGAGGAGCACGAAGGUGGGCUAAUCACGGUUGGACAUCGUGAGGUUAGUGCAAUGGCAUAAGCCCGCUUGACUGCGAGAAUGACAAUUCGAGCAGGUGCGAAAGCAGGUCAUAGUGAUCCGGUGGUUCUGAAUGGAAGGGCCAUCGCUCAACGGAUAAAAGGUACUCCGGGGAUAACAGGCUGAUACCGCCCAAGAGUUCAUAUCGACGGCGGUGUUUGGCACCUCGAUGUCGGCUCAUCACAUCCUGGGGCUGAAGUCGGUCCCAAGGGUAUGGCUGUUCGCCAUUUAAAGUGGUACGCGAGCUGGGUUUAGAACGUCGUGAGACAGUUCGGUCCCUAUCUGCCGUGGGCGUUGGAAGAUUGAAGGGGGCUGCUCCUAGUACGAGAGGACCGGAGUGGACGAACCUCUGGUGUUCGGGUUGUGUCGCCAGACGCAUUGCCCGGUAGCUAAGUUCGGAAUCGAUAACCGCUGAAAGCAUCUAAGCGGGAAGCGAGCCCUGAGAUGAGUCUUCCCUGAUACUUUAAGUAUCCUAAAGGGUUGUCGGAGACUACGACGUUGAUAGGUCAGGUGUGUAAGUGCUGUGAGGCAUUGAGCUAACUGAUACUAAUUGCCCGUGAGGCUUAACCAUACAACACCCAAGGGGUUU